UACGUAGGGUGCGAGCGUUAAUCGGAAUUACUGGGCGUAAAGUGUGCGCAGGCGGCAAAGCAAGUCGAGUGUGAAAGCCCCGGGCUUAACUUGGGAAUUGCGCCCGAAACUACUUUGCUGGAGUGUGGCAGAGGAAGGUGGAAUUCCACGUGUAGCGGUGAAAUGCGUAGAGAUGUGGAGGAACACCAAUGGCGAAGGCAGCCUUCUGGGCCAACACUGACGCUCAUGCACGAAAGCGUGGGGAGCAAACAGG
rnacentral:rRNA from 1 species